UACGUAGGGGGCAAGCGUUGUCCGGAAUCAUUGGGCGUAAAGAGCGUGUAGGCGGCCAGAAAAGUCCGCUGUGAAAACUCGAGGCUCAACUUCGAGCUGUCGGUGGAAACUUCUGGCUAGAGUCCGGAAGAGGAGAAUGGAAUUCCUGGUGUAGCGGUGAAAUGACGCAGAUAUCAGGAAGAACACCCGUGGCGAAGGCGGUUCUCUGGGACGGUACUGACGCUGAGACGCGAAAGCGUGGGGGAGCGAACAGG
rnacentral:rRNA from 1 species